ACGUAGGUGGCAAGCGUUGUCCGGAUUUAUUGGGUUUAAAGGGUGCGUAGGCGGCUUUGUAAGUCAGUGGUGAAAUAUGGCAGCUUAACUGUCAAGGUGCCAUUGAUACUGCGGAGCUUGAGUACAGAUGAGGUAGGCGGAAUUGACGGUGUAGCGGUGAAAUGCUUAGAUAUCGUCAAGAACACCUAUAGCGAAGGCAGCUUACUAGGCUGUAACUGACGCUGAGGCACGAAAGUGUGGGGAUCAAACAGGA
rnacentral:rRNA from 1 species